GAUCCUGAAGGGAGUUGGGCACAUCCAGGUGCCACUCUUGAAGGUUGCCCAACGAGCUGCGGCAAUCUGAGCGUCGACUACCCCUUCGGCAUCGGAUCCAGGUGCUCCCGUGGUCCAGAUUUUAAUCUCACUUGCAACGACACCACUAAGCCCCCCACGCUCUUCCUGAGCGACGGCAUCAGCGAGGUGCUCGAUGACCUUGCCGUUAGCUAUCAGGAUGAUGGCAAUCUUCAUCUUGACAGAAUCUUCAGUACCUCCUUCCGGCAUACCAUCCUCAUGAAACCUGGUGUCCAUGUCUAUGACUGGUCUUUCAAACCGCCCGGGAGGUCCUUUGAGUACAUCGGGCAAACAGCUCUAAACAUCACCGGCUGUGACCUGGACGUGUAUUGGGUCAAUGACAAUGCCGGCACUACCACACGGGCCUGCAGAACUGUGUGCCCAGACCAAGGGAUCACAGAGACGGUGGCUAGGCACCAUUGUAACGGCACCGGCUGUUGUAGUUUUAAUGUUGGUGGCCUUGACAAUGGUGCUUUUCACCUUACAUUUGUCCAGGGGCACAAAAAAAUCAACAACGGUGCAGGGUCUAAGUCUAACCGGACUGCUCCACUGUGGGAUAGAAUCAGUAUAACAGAUGAUGGUGGUGUCAUGAUUUUGUGGCAAAUAGUGGAUCAACCCAACUGUGUUGCUGCCAUGCGAGACAGGACAGCAUACGCCUGUGUCAGCAAACACUCCGACUGCUACGAUGUAGAAGGCUACAUCUGCGUCUGCAACCCCGGCUAUUCAGGCAACCCCUUCAUUAAAGAAGGCUGCUCCAAAGACAAAGUGGGUAGCUGCCAAUCUAAGUUGCCUAGAAGCCCAACUUGA
rnacentral:rRNA from 1 species